rnacentral:rRNA from 1 species
GACCAAAAGACUAAGUCAUAUUGAAUAGGUUAAAAGAUAGUUAAGUAAAGUGAAGAGCUUGAUGACUUUUUAUAAAAAGGUAAAAUUUGAAUAUAGAUAAGGUAGUUUAUUUAAAGCUAAAAUGCUGAAGCUAUGAUAGUUUUGGGGGAAACUGGGAUUAGAUACCCCAUUAUUCAUAAUUGUAAAUGGAUAAAAAAUUUACCAGAGUACUAUGAAUGUUUAAAAUUUAAAACUCAAAGGGCUUGGCGGUGUUUUAGACCAAUUAGGGGAACCUGUCUCGUAAUCGACAAUCCACGUGAUAUCUAACCUUUUUUAGUAAUCAGUUUGUAUACCGUCGUCGUCAGGUAACUUUUAAAAAUUUAGAAGUUAGCAAUGAUAAUAUUUGUUGAUUAAGACGUCAGAUCAAGGUGCAGCCUAUAAAGAGGAGAAGAUGGGUUACAAUUAUGAAAUUAUAAUUACGGACAGUUUAAUGGAAUAAGCUUUAAGGAGGACUUAAAAGUAAUAUUGUAAUAUAUAAAUAAUUUGAAUUAGGCUCUGAAACGUGU